rnacentral:lncRNA from 1 species
AGCUCUAUAAAUUGGAACUUCAAUUGAGAUUAAUGUAAAUAUUUUUUGGCUAGGGAAAAUCUGGUUUUCAUGAACCUAUCACAUUGCACAUCCGCCAAAGAUAAAGGUGAUAAACUGAUUGUUAACAUAAAAUUGGAAGUGACCAACAAUAUGUCAGCCUUUAUAAUGAUCAUUUCCUACAACAUUAGAGUAGAACAAUUUCUAAUUCUACCUUCGUUACAUUACUUUUCUCAAAGAAAGACUUUUGCCAAGUUACCAAAUGAAUGAUUAGGAUUUAAUUGCUAUUAAAGCAACCAAUUGAGCUCUAUAAAUUGGAACUUCAAUUGAGAUUAAUGUAAAUAUUUUUUGGCUAGGGAAAAUCUGGUUUUCAUGAACCUAUCACAUUGCACAUCCGCCAAAGAUAAAGGUGAUAAACUGAUUGUUAACAUAAAAUUGGAAGUGACCAACAAUAUGUCAGCCUUUAUAAUGAUCAUUUCCUACAAGAUUAGAGUAGAACAAUUUCUAAUUCUACCUUCGUUACAUUACUUUUCUGGAACAUGAAACAACAGAGAUGC